CGGCUUCACCGACUGAUGUGGCGUUGAUGUGGCAGCAAUGGGCUUACAUGGUUGGUGACGUGGCAGGGGUUGAUUAAUUUGCCUUGAAAGCCUGCAAUGAAUUCCAUGUUGCUGUUACUUGCGGUCGUACUCAUACAGCUCUAUUGUGCAAGGAUGCGACCUGAUCAGCUGCUGGUUGCCAUUGGCUGUUGGGAAAGUGAACUGUGUUUGUGGCGGCUGGGAUGGGUCUAGUGCGGUAGCUGAUCUAGCUGAGGAGAAUAAUUAUUCUGUUGCUGGAGGCGUGAAAGAAUUGGCUUUUUAGGAC
rnacentral:lncRNA from 1 species